UCCAAGGACCAAAAUUCUGAGUUCAGUGCCAUUUUCCUUUGCAUCCAGGACACGUUACGCUCCUCACUGGGCGGGGCGUACGACAUGGAAAUGCAAGGUGUGGGUGUUAACAAACCCUCUGUGGCCAGUAUGCUCCUGGUCCUAAUGACAGGGUGCACAAAUUCACUAACUAGGCAGCCGCUUGUGCUUGGUUUGUUUAAAUGAAGAAAUAGCGUUUACGUCUCCUAGGAAAAGUACGUGGCAACAGAUGCAACGGCAUUCAAGACUGCGCUCGUCACCUGAAGUGGAGUAGCCACAGGUGGAUUGCACAGCAUUUGGGGCAGGGCGAGGGCAGUGGCACUGCAUAGCCAAGAACAAUGCAGCUGUUUUACGUGCACAAAGGCUAAAAUCGCUCCAGGGAUAACUGGAACUUCUGACUCUCAGUGGAUCUCUUUCGGGAUUGCUCUUGGCUGCCAAGAAACUAACAGACGAAUUGAAGCCAUUCCUUAAAACGGGUGAAAGGUUUUGCCCUGGCAGCCCUGGAGAUGUCAGCCUUUUAUCCACAGAACAGAUCCACCAGCGGGAUUCUUCUUCUGCACCUACCCCAGCUCUGCUCCCACGUGCUGUGCCACCCCUUGCACUGUGGGCAGUUCAGUCUCCCGGGCUCCUUCGAGCCGGGGGCUGGAGGCUGCCUGAGGUUGUACUUCUGUGAGACAGAUGAGUGUCUGGCCUCUGGACACCACUCCCCUGAGAGCACUGAUUUCACAUGGGUCACCAGCUGAACACUGUGUUUGCCAGCCUGGUUUAGACUCAAACCAGCACCCUGAAGAGGCUCUGUAGUCCCCUUACUCUCCUCCCCGCUGUGUUUCCUUUGGAUCCAUUUAAGAAAAGGUUGAUGCUUCUCCCAUCAGGAGCUGCUGCAAACGCUGUUGGAGCAUGACUGUCCAGCUCUACGUUAAAUCUAAGGCAGCCCUGAGCAACCUUCUCUCUGGGAAUUGCACCCCAGCAGUGCAUGAGUGCGAGCCUGCAGCUCCUCUGGAGGCCGGAGCCAUGACACAGACAAGAAAGCCAGGAGUUUGUCUCACUCUGAGGUUUGACUGAGAUUAGAGGAUGCUGGCCCAGUACUUCAAGCUUCACUCAGCUGAAGAAACAAGCAGAGAGGUAGUGACUUGCCUGCAGUCCAAGUGGCAGAGCUGGGCCUGGAACCUCACUCUUCCUGUCAACAGGAAUAUGCAGCCUCACCAGAGGGAGUGGGCACUAGCAGACACCCAGAAU